CACACACACAGAAGCACACUCGUUCUGUUGUUAACGUUGAGAAGAGUCCCUCUAGUGGCCACCUGUACAACACCCUGUGGGACCAGAUGCCGCUGAAUGGCUGACAUUGGGACAGUGUAUCUCCUUCUCCAUCACCACUCUCCCACGGUUUGAGAAAGGGACAUCUGUCUAAAUGGAGAUCAAGGACAAUUGAAAGGGGAAGAAAACAGGAAGUUACCACCGAAAGACACUGAAGACCAUAUAAAUUAGGAUUAGUGGAUCACAACCGGAAGCCAGCAGAAAGGACAUCUGUCAGAUGCAGCCUGUAGGGGUCAGCCCCCUUGCCCAAGACACAGCAGAUGAAGGGUGAGGAGUGGAGCUAAGGACAAAUAGCAGCUUUAUAGUAUGGCAGCCGAUAAAGGAUUAAAAACAAAGCAUCAAAAAUGACCUCAGACCAAGAAAUAAAGAGCAAGAGUCAGAGGAAAUCCAAAGCAACUCCAUUUCCCUGAUGCAAACUUCAUCCCUUUCUGAAUGGCCUCCUCUCACUUGUUUCCUGACCUCAGCACUAACCUCAUACAACAAAGGAGACUUCUCUUCUGA